rnacentral:tRNA from 1 species
CAGAGCGUAGCUAAGACAGAAUAAGCAUCUCCCUUACACCGAGAAGUCACCUGUGCAAAUCAGGUCGUGCUGA